CGCCGCCCGCCUCCGGCCGCGCCUAGGCCGCACGCGUGCCCGCCUCCGGCCGCGCCCAGGCCGCUCGCGCGCCCGCCCCUGGCUAGCGGCGCCGGUGCAGUGGUCAACAGGUCAAACAUCAAGGUGAACGCGGGGACCUAUCAAGAAGGAGGAAGGUGGGCCAAUCAAUUGAACUGGGACAUUAACAUUACAAGCACAUGGAGUUUUCAUCAGCACAUAGGAGGCGGAUGGAUCAUCAAUCGGCGGCAGCGUCAAACCAUUGCGGAGAGUCGCCGACAUCGCAAGUCGGCCCGUCCCCACUCGGACCGUCUCUGGGAUCGCACGUUGGGGCGUCCCAUCCCUCACAGUCGCCGUGAGCCGCUUGCGGAUUCUUUUUUAUGUAUUGAACUUGUGGACUAUGAGCUGUGGUUUGUAAUAUAUUGUGGAUUUCAGACAAAUUUGGUCCUUUUUGAUAUAAAUUUGUGGUUUGUGAUUAUUUGCUAUUGAA